UGGGGAAUUUUGGACAAUGGGCGAAAGCCUGAUCCAGCAAUGCCGCGUGUGUGAAGAAGGCCUUCGGGUUGUAAAGCACUUUUGUCCGGAAAGAAAUCCUUGGCUCUAAUACAGUCGGGGGAUGACGGUACCGGAAGAAUAAGCACCGGCUAACUACGUGCCAGCAGCCGCGGUAAUACGUAGGGUGCAAGCGUUAAUCGGAAUUACUGGGCGUAAAGCGUGCGCAGGCGGUUUGCUAAGACCGAUGUGAAAUCCCCGGGCUCAACCUGGGAACUGCAUUGGUGACUGGCAGGCUAGAGUAUGGCAGAGGGGGGUAGAAUUCCACGUGUAGCAGUGAAAUGCGUAGAGAUGUGGAGGAAUACCGAUGGCGAAGGCAGCCCCCUGGGCCAAUACUGACGCUCAUGCACGAAAGCGUGGGGAGCAAACAGGAUUAGAUACCCUGGUAGUCCACGCCCUAAACGAUGUCAACUAGUUGUUGGGGAAUUCAUUUCCUUAGUAACGUAGCUAACGCGUGAAGUUGACCGCCUGGGGAGUACGGUCGCAAGAUUAAAACUUAAAUGAAUUGACGGGGUCAUAGCUG
rnacentral:rRNA from 1 species